AAUCCUUUAACAAGGAUCAAUUGGAGGGCAAGUCUGGUGCCAGCAGCCGCGGUAAUUCCAGCUCCAAUAGCGUAUAUUAAAGUUGCUGCGGUUUAAAAGCUCGUAGUUGGAUCUCAGUCACGGGCAGGUGGUUCACCUCACGGUGCUACUACCUGGUCCGGACCUUUGACUGGUACCCCCUAGGUGCCCUUCGCUGGGUGCCUGGGGAGACCAGAGUGUUUACUUUGAAAAAAUUGGAGUGCUCAAAGCAGGCGAAUGCCUGUACUUUCGUGCAUGGAACAAUGGAAAAGGGCCUCGGUGCCAUUUUGUUGGUUCUUUGGUACUCGAGGUAAUGGUUGAAGGGGACAGACGGGGGCAUUCGUAUUGCGACGUUAGAGGUGAAAUUCUUAGAUCGUCGCAAGACGGACUACUGCGAAAGCAUUUGCCAAGAAUGUUUUCAUUAAUCAAGAACGAAAGUCAGAGGUUCGAAGGCGAUCAGAUACCGCCCUAGUUCUGACCUUAAACGAUGCCAACUGGCGAUCCAUCGGGGGUAUUUCCAUGACCUGAUGGGCAUCUUCCGGGAAACCAAAGUUUUUGGGUUCCGGGGGAAGUAUGGUUGCAAAGCUGGAACUUAAAGGAAUUGACGGAAGGGCACCACCAGGAGUGGAGCCUGUGGCUUAAUUUGACCCAACGCGGGGAAGCUCACGGGGCCCGGACACUGGAAGGAUUGACAGAUUGAGAGCUCUUUCUUGAUUCGGUGGGUGGUGGUGCAUGGCCGCUCUUAGUUGGUGGAGUGAUUUGUCUGGUUAAUUCCGAUAACGAACGAGACUCUGGCUUACUAAAUAGGCGGCGGAUCUUUGUAUCCGCUAUGUCUUCUUAGAGGGAUAAGGCAGCUCUAAGCUGCAUGAGAAGGGGCAAUAACAGGUCUGUGAUGCCCUUAGAUGUUCUCGGCCGCACACGCGCUACACUGAAAGAGGCAACGUGUUUGCCUGAUUCGAAAGAAUGGGGUAACCCCCUAAUCUCUUUCGUGCUGGGGAUUGAGGUUUGCAAUUAUCCUUCAUGAACGAGGAAUUCCCAGUAAGUGCGAGUCAUUAUCUCGCGCUGACUACGUCCCUGCCCUUUGUACACACCGCCCGUCGCUACUACCGAUUGAAUGAUUUAGUGAGGACUUCGGACUGAGUCCAAUGCGGCUUUCGGGCUGCGUUGGUAUUUCGGAAAGAUGUCCAAACUGUAUCAUUUAGAGGAAGUAAAAGUCGU
rnacentral:rRNA from 1 species